UUUUGGGAUCGCUGUUUAGCUAUGGUGAGCAGCACCCUUGCUCCGGCAUUAACUUUGACAAUGCCAUUGAUAGUUUGGCUGAAAUUCGUGUUUCUCCUACCAUCCAAGGUCAGCUAAGAAAAUUACUUGUGAUCAUGUCGUCCUUUGCACAGUUCCAGAAUGUUGCAAAUGUCAAGGUCUCCUUCAAAAAUCUCGAUGCCUCUGCCCAUGGUCACGAUUCUGAUUGGAUUGGGGUCUUCUCUCCAGCCAGUUUCAGGUAAUUUAAAACAGAUCUCUUCAGAUGACUGUUGCCUGGACGAGUGGAUAUGGAACGCACGAAGCCAAGCCUUUUGUUCUUUGGGGAUUACUUGAAUCGGACGAAACUUGGGCCUCUCCAGGAGUUACACAAACUUAUAGUCGUGGAGACAUGUGUGGACUAUAGGGUGGCGAGAUCCCUUUGUUUGAGGCAGAGAUUUAGCUACGUCCAUACCCGCCAGAAGAGUCCUUACAAAGAAUAGUAGUUUUCGGAGAUCUUGAAAAGAAAGAGCGAGAUGGAUCGAAUCAAUACAAUAGCUACAGCCACGGUGCUCUACAAACAUUUUCUCGACCAAAAACGAUAAAUACCCAUGGGAGAUUCCUAACUUACCAGUAUUUAGAUGGAUUAUUCAGUGGUAUCUUGA